rnacentral:lncRNA from 1 species
CGUGAUGUUCAGCCGCGCGAAGGACUGCGGGAUAGCGCCGGUGAGGUUGUUGUGGCUCAGCCGGAUGUAGAGGUCCGGCUGCGGGAGCUUGCCGAGGGCCUCGGGGAUGGGUCCGGAGAGCUGGUUCCGGUCGAGGAAGAGCGCCCCCAGCUGGGGGAGGUCGCCCAGGGAGGGCGGGAUAGCGCCGGAGAGCUUAUUGAAGGAGAGGUUGAUGUACUCGAGCUUGGCAAGGCGGCCGAGGAAGGCCGGGACGGGGCCGGUGAGGCCAUUCCAGUCCAUCCACAGCAUCUUCAGGCGGGUGAGCUUGGCGAGCUCCGGCGGGAAGGGCCCGGUGAGGUUGACGGAUUUGCGGAAGAUGAGUUUCUCCAGGUAGGGGAGGUCACCAAUGGACGGCGGGAGCUUGAUGGGCCCGGGGGUCUCCAUGCCGAGAAUGACAACGGCGGUGACGCGGCCGGUGGAAGGGUUGCACUCGGUGGCGUACCACUCGCCGCAGCAGUCGGUGCUGGCGGUCCAUGAGAUGAUAGUGUA